rnacentral:rRNA from 1 species
AUUGAACGCUGGCUGCAGGCUUAACACAUGCAAGUCGAGCGGAGAUGAGGUGCUUGCACCUUAUCUUAGCGGCGGACGGGUGAGUAAUGCUUAGGAAUCUGCCUAUUAGUGGGGGACAACAUUCCGACAGGAAUGCUAAUACCGCAUACGUCCUACGGGAGAAAGCAGGGGAUCUUCGGACCUUGCGCUAAUAGAUGAGCCUAAGUCGGAUUAGCUAGUUGGUGGGGUAAAGGCCUACCAAGGCGACGAUCUGUAGCGGGGCUGAGAGGAUGAUCACACACACUGGGACUGUAACACGGCCCGGACUCCUACGGGAGGCAGCAGUGGGGAAUAGUGGAAAAUGGGGGGAACCCUGCUCCAGCCAUGCCGCGUGUGUGAAGAAGUCCUUAUGGUUGUAAAGCACUUUAAGCGAGGAGGAGGCUACUGAGACUAAUACUCUUGGAUAGUGGACGUUACUCGCAGAAUAAGCACCGGCUAACUCUGUGCCAGCAGCCGCCGUAAAAC